CUGGAGUGCUGCCAAGACUAAAGGCUUCGAGGUGUACUUGGCUGAAAUCUCGGCAGACUAUCAGACUUGCGCUAAAAGAAACGCCCACGGCCGGAAGAUGAGGGAUAUUCAAAAGAUGUCCAGUAACUGGGAG